GGUGGAGUGUCCCGAGCGGCAAAGGGGGCGGACUGUAAAUCCGCUGACUACGUCUUCGUUGGUUCGAGUCCAACCUCCACCACCA
rnacentral:tRNA from 2 species